rnacentral:rRNA from 1 species
AUUGAACGCUGGCGGCAGGCUUAACACAUGCAAGUCGAGCGGAGAGAGGUAGCUUGCUACCGAUCUUAGCGGCGGACGGGUGAGUAAUGCUUAGGAAUCUGCCUAUUAGUGGGGGACAACAUUUCGAAAGGAAUGCUAAUACCGCAUACGUCCUACGGGAGAAAGCAGGGGAUCUUCGGACCUUGCGCUAAUAGAUGAGCCUAAGUCGGAUUAGCUAGUUGGUGGGGUAAAGGCCUACCAAGGCGACGAUCUGUAGCGGGUCUGAGAGGAUGAUCCGCCACACUGGGACUGAGACACGGCCCAGACUCCUACGGGAGGCAGCAGUGGGGAAUAUUGGACAAUGGGCGCAAGCCUGAUCCAGCCAUGCCGCGUGUGUGAGGAAGGCCUUAUGGUUGUAAAGCACUUUAAGCGAGGAGGAGGCUACUGAAGUUAAUACCUUCAGAUAGUGGACGUUACUCGCAGAAUAAGCACCGGCUAACUCUGUGCCAGCAGCCGCUGUAAUAC